AAAAACAGCAGGACCAAGGUGUGUUCCACAAAAUGUGCCAGAACGUCUGUUCUAGGAAGCUAAGCAUCGUCGGGCCUGGUUAGUACUUGCAUGCGGAGACCGCUUGGGACUACCAGGUUCUAUAACUGUUUUUA
rnacentral:rRNA from 1 species